rnacentral:tRNA from 1 species
GCUCCUGUAGCUCAGUGGCAGAGCGCAUCCUUGGUAAGGAUGAGGCCGCAGGUUCGAUCCCUGCCGGGAGCA